rnacentral:rRNA from 1 species
GGUUGACCUCGGAUCAGGUAGGGAUACCCGCUGAACUUAAGCAUAUCAAUAAGCGGAGGAAAAGAAACCAACAGGGAUUGCCUUAGUAACGGCGAGUGAAGCGGCAAAAGCUCAAAUUUGAAAUCUGGUGCCUCUGGUGCCCGAGUUGUACUUUGGAGAGGCAUCUUCUGGAGGGACCCAGCCUAUGUGCCUUGGAACAGGACGUCAUAGAGGGUGAGAAUCCCGU